UCACGGCGUGAGCUGUAGGGAGCGCUAGAGAGUCCGUUGCCCUUUAGCCCAGCUGAGGGUAUCUGCAAGCCCCGGAGCUCCGGUUCCCCGGGCUUUCAGCUGGAAACCCGAGUUGGGAGUUACUUUCCUGAUCGCAGUCUGACAAGAGUCGCCCGAGUCUUGGAAAGGUUUCGGUAAACAGGCACUUAGACCUCGGGUCGGCUUAUUUCUUGGGAACGUGGUCUAUGUAAUAACGAUCAGGAAAAUAAUUUGUGAGGAAAGGGAGGGAUUAUAAAUGCGCUGAGGUUAGGAUUGUUUAUGUGAUUUUAAAUGUUUUUAAAUUUAUUUAUUUAUUUAUUUAUUUAUUUAUAGAUCCUACAAACUCAAAGGAAGAGAAACACCCCCCCCCCCAAGAGGAAUUAUCUUCCGUAUCUGGUCCCCUCACCAUAAUCUGUCCCCAAGGAAAACGCGUUUUGUUGUUGUUGUUGUUGUUGUUGUUUUUGGUUUUUUUUUUUUUUUUUUUUUUUUUAUUCCCUAGCUUUUGUCGUGAAGACGGAAAAAGUACCCUUUCUCACUUGGCUCCGGCUCUCCCUUUUGUUUUUUCAUUUUAUGUAGGUGGCAAAACAGUUUACCUGAUUCUCCAGUCUUCAGACCUUUGGGUGACUUCUCUCUUAUUUGAGUUUGAUCGAUUGCUGUCUAGGCGUGAGAUGGGGCUACGGGAGACGAAUUUUCCUACUUGUAAUGUCAGGAGCUUUCCUUAAUGUGCCAUAUCCUCUUCAUUCUUGUGAUGGCAUCUGCUCUGCUCCCUUUCUUGGAGCCGUGAUGGCUGAUGGAGUGCAAGAGAGAAACUAGUUUAACGAACCGAAUUUCCAAGCAUUGAGAGAAGAUGAAGCCAAAUGAUAGAAGUGUAUUAUGGAAGAACUGGUAGGUGACCAACAUGUGGGCAGAUGUCAGAGAGGAGGACAAACAGGGAGCCCUGCCACUUACUGGCCAUCUGGAUUUGGGUCGUGAUUUUGGGGUUGUGAGAUCAAGCCCCUCAUUGGGCUCCACACUGAGGAGGAAGUCUGCUUGAGAUUCCCUCCCUCUCCCUCUAUCCUGUUACCCCCCAUUUAUUUAACAAGAAAUAAAAUCUUGAGAAAAAAAAAACUACGCAAACAUUAUAUGUAGGGAAGUGAGUAAGGUACUUGUUGUCUAGGCACUAGGAAACGUGCCUAGAAAAUGAAUAUUACUAGAAAUAUUUUUACAAGUUACAUGCAAGAUAACACCAAAGGGAAGAGUUGGGCAGACCAACAGCAGGUGAAGAUCAGGCAUGAGUUGGUGGGAGACCUCCCUGUGGGAUUUCUCCGCUCAGGCAGUAUUUGAACUGAGCAUCUUAUGGCAGAUGCAGAAUGCUCUGGCAUUUUUUUCACUAUGGGAACCUCUCAAGUGAAAGUCUAAGGAUUGGUGAGGAAACGAAUGCAUAGGCCUAUAAAGAAAAAGAAAAGACAGCACUUGGAGGUUCAUCUGUGUUAGUGGAAGAAUUGGCUGUGUUUAAGUAACAGGUUAAAAUUUUAAAACUUACUUGGGCCUCCUUGAAAGGAAUAGGGAGGAUAAAAAGACAUGGAACAGGAGCAGAGAAAGAAAAGGCAGAAAUUAAUACACGAAGUAGUAUAAGUUACUCAAGGACUGAAGAAUCUGAAAGCUGGAGGAAGUGGGGUUUUGGAGAGGAGCACAUGUCAGAGGAUAUAUUAGACCCCUCUGCAAUCCUGAGAUUAUCACUUUUGGAAGCAUCAAUAGAAGCUUCAGAUUCAGGAAUCUGUGGAGAGUAAUAAUCCAGCUAAGAUACAUUUCAGGAUCUUGCCAGCAAGGUCAAUAGAUCUAAGGACUUCUAGAGUAGGAAACAGGGCAGCAGCUGUGUCAUCAAGUUUAAGAAGUCUUGGGCCUGGAGUGGACAAAUGCAGGGAAGAUCAGCUGCAAGGCUACAAGCAUUGGACUACAGGAUUACCUAUUCAAAAUGUGGGGUGCUGUGUUCACAUGUGGAGAAGUAAACUCACUUGUUAGAGACCUGGCUCCAUUUGAUGUUGGCCUUUCAGGCUAGAAACACCAGACUCCUAAAGGAAAUAGAAGAAAUAGAAGAGCUCAAAACACUUGAAGGAUACCAAGAGAAAGAAGAUUUGCGCGUGAUCUAGACAUCAGAGGUGCUGCCACUGAAAACCUAGCUUUAUCCUAAAAUCAGCAACUCUCAUGAACACAAGAUGGUUACCUACAACAGCUCCAAAAAGUACAUGUUCCCUCAUCCACAUCUAGAGCAAAUGAAUUAGUCCCAGCAGCCCCGCAAGUAUCCUGAUAUUCACUUGCUUGAAUCACAUGCCUGCCCUGGAACCAAAAGUCGUGCAUGGGAAGAUGGAAUGUGAUGGUUGGUUUCAACUAACCAGGCAGUGGGUCAGCUUCCCUGGAAGCACCUGGGCUGCAUGGGGAGAGGCAGAUUCCUCAAAUGACAAUCAAGAGACUGUGGAAGAGAGAAAGCAGAGCUUAAGACACUAAAGAGACUACCAACAAAAGUACAUUUUGUAGCUAUUAUCAUUAUUAUUGGCUUUCUUGGCUCUUAGCCCUUGGCUCUUGGCUAUUUCUUUGGAAAUCAUUAAAAAAAAAAAACAGUAAGAUCUUAUUUUGAGUAAGUGUAUUCUUUCUAGCAAAGGAAGAUCAAUAAGUAUAAAGGUAAGUUUAAUGUAACGGCCAUUAGGAAUCUGGAACACCAGCCAAACAAGCAGCAAAAUGCAUUGAAUAAAGAUGUCUAUCAGGAACAAAUGUCAGAGAUGGAGAGCAAGGAGGAAGCUAGAUGGUAACUUGCCCAAGUGCCCAACCCAGAGGGUGAGAUUAGUUACCGGGCUACUCUUUACUGGUGCCAGGUUAGAAGCCCAUGACAUAGGUCGGGACAAGAGCGGUAUUCCCCAAAGCAGAGUUGCGAGAAGAAAAAUCUAAUUAAAACCCAAUUUUUACUGCUCUGCCUGUGCCUUUGCAGCCACUAUCUGCCCCUCUGUAAGAUUCCUCUCUUUUUGAUCCAGCCCCCAUCUAAUGACUCACUGAUUUCUGCCAAUUUUAUUUCUGUCCCUUCUGCCAAGAAGGCUCUCCCGCAUUCCUUUGCUGCAUUUCAUCUGGCUAAUUUCUACUUACUGGUUAAGACUUUAAACUGUGUC